GUUCCUACGGGACGCAGCAGUGGGGAAUAUUGGGCAAUGGGCGCAAGCCUGACCCAGCAACGCCGCGUGAAGGAAGAAGGCUUUCGGGUUGUAAACUUCUUUUAUGGGGACGAAACAAAUGACGGUACCUCAUGAAUAAGCCACGGCUAACUACGUGCCAGCAGCCGCGGUAAUACGUAGGUGGCAAGCGUUAUCCGGAUUUACUGGGUGUAAAGGGCGUGUAGGCGGGACUGCAAGUCAGAUGUGAAAAUUAUGGGCUCAACCCAUAACCUGCAUUUGAAACUUGAGUUCUUGAGUGAUGGAAG
rnacentral:rRNA from 1 species